GACGUAGGGAGCGAGCGUUGUCCGGCUUCAUUGGGCGUAAAGAGCGCGCAGGCGGUUUGGUAAGUCGGAUGUGAAAUCCCGGAGCUCAACUCCGGACCUGCAUCCGAUACUGCCCGACUAGAGGUAGGUAGGGGAGAUCGGAAUUCCUGGUGUAGCGGUGAAAUGCGCAGAUAUCAGGAGGAACACCGGUGGCGAAGGCGGAUCUCUGGGCCUUACCUGACGCUCAGGCGCGAAAGCUAGGGGAGCGAACAGG
rnacentral:rRNA from 1 species